AGGAAACCCAUUUAUCCCUUUACUAAUCUAAAACCAAGGAAAGAUUAGACAGAGCAAGGUAUCCCAAUAAUAUUGUCUCAACUUCCAGAAAGCUAGAUAUGAAAGAAAAAGCAGUUCUCUCAUGUCCCCUUAAUCCUUAGGAAAAUCUGUUUGUUAGCUUUGACAUCUAUAAUGCACCAUACAGGGCGAUGGAACAGGAUCCCACUGUUGUCAAAAUCCAAGCAAGUGAAAGUUGAGUGGCAUGAGGCAUCCAUUGUGGGACAAAUAGUAACAAACAAUAGCACAACAGAAGAGUGAAAGGGAUCGGGAGAUGGAGGUUUAUGUGGCUUAUAAUUCAGGAAAGAAAUGGGAAAAGCAAGCAAGUUGAUGAUGCAUGGACAACAAGAUGUGAACACUAUCACUAUAGUUGAUUUAGAAUAUAUAUAUAUAUAUAUAUAUAUAUAUCUUUAGAAACAAUUUUUUCUAUUAUUCUUGAUGUUGGACAGAAAUUAUGGUAAUCAAACAUACGGUGUAGCUUGCAACUGCCUCUUAAAAUUGGGGACCUACAUGUCCAAUUGACAGUUUUGGUCCCAACUGUUUUCAUUAUGAUUGCA